rnacentral:rRNA from 1 species
CACGCAGGCGGCCUGGUAAGUCAGAUGUGAAAGCCCGGGGCUUAACCCCGGAAGUGCAUUUGAAACUAUCAGGCUUGAGUAUGGGAGAGGGAAGUGGAAUUCCUGGUGUAGAGGUGAAAUUCGUAGAUAUCAGGAGGAACACCGGUGGCGAAGGCGACUUCCUGGACCAAUACUGACGCUGAGGUGCGAAGGCGUGGGGAGCAAACA